rnacentral:rRNA from 1 species
GACGAACGCUGGCGGCGUGCUUAACACAUGCAAGUCGAACGGUGAACCUCUUCGCUGGGGAUCAGUGGCGUACGGGUGAGUAACACGUUGGCAACCUGCCCCCGGCUCUGGGAUAACUCCAAGACUUCGGGGCUCAUACCCUAUUUUCACCUCUUCUCGCAUGGCUGGUGGUGCAAUGGGUUUCCGGCUGGGGAUGGUCCCUCGGCCUAUCAGCUUGUUGGUGUUGUAGUGGCCUACCAAGGCGACGUCGGGUAGCCGGCCUGAGAGGGUGAACGUCCACAAGAGGACUGAGAGACGGAGCAGAAUGCUACGGGAGGCAGCAGGCGAGAGUAUUGCGGAGUGGGGGGGAGCGAGACGCAGCGACGCCGCGAGGGGGAUGACGGCCUUCGGGGGGAAAACAAAUGUCAGAAGAGACGAAGAGGAAGUGACGGUACCUGCAGAGGAAGCAACGGCCAACUACGUG